GGCAGUGUAGCCAAGUGGUUACGGCGUCACGUUUAGGUAUUAACCAAUUACCGUGAUGGGUUUCCCGCGCGAGUUCGAAUCUCGUCACUGUCA